AUACGUAGGGGGCGAGCGUUGUCCGGAAUGAUUGGGCGUAAAGGGCGCGUAGGCGGCCCGGUAAGUCUGGAGUGAAAGUCCUGUUUUUAAGAUGGGAAUUGCUUUGGAUACUGUCGGGCUUGAGUGCAGGAGAGGUAAGUGGAAUUCCCAGUGUAGCGGUGAAAUGCGUAGAGAUUGGGAGGAACACCAGUGGCGAAGGCGACUUACUGGACUGUAACUGACGCUGAGGCGCGAAAGUGUGGGGAGCAAACAGGAUUAGAUACCCUGGUAGUCCACACUGUAAACGAUGAAUGCUAGGUGUAGUGGGUAUCGACCCCUUCUGUGCCGCAGUCAACACAAUAAGCAUUCCGCCUGGGGAUUACGGCCGCAAGGUUGAAACUUAAAGGAAUUGACGG
rnacentral:rRNA from 1 species